rfam:Pseudanabaena biceps PCC 7429 scaffold_00274, whole genome shotgun sequence.
GCGGGUGUGGCUCAGUGGUAGAGCAUCUCCUUGCCAAGGAGAAUGUCGUGGGUUCGAAUCCCAUCACCCGCU